UAAGGAAUAUUGGUCAAUGGACGGAAGUCUGAACCAGCCAUCCCGCGUGCAGGAUGAAGGUCCUAUGGAUUGUAAACUGCUUUUAGCAGAGACGAAACGCUUCCAUUGAUGGGAGUCUGACGGUAUCUGCAGAAUAAGCACCGGCUAACUCCGUGCCAGCAGCCGCGGUAAUACGGAGGGUGCGAGCGUUAUCCGGAAUUACUGGGUUUAAAGGGUGCGUAGGCGGGUUAUUAAGUCAGUGGUGAAAUCC
rnacentral:rRNA from 1 species